rnacentral:lncRNA from 1 species
CCCAAACACAGCCCUUUAUACUCGCCUCUCUCUCUUUCUCCCAUAGCACACAGCAAUAAGCUUCGUUGUUUUUGUGUGUCAGAGUAUGUGUGUGUGAGUGUGUGAGUGUGUUGUUAGUGUACGUACCCGGCUGGGGGGAUGGCGUGACUGGUGGAUCACAGAUGAAGCUGGUUGAAGGCAGGAGAUGAGUUCACAUGCAGGUUGAGGGAGUGCUGAGAUGUGAAAGAGCUGCAGAUGUAUUAUUUUCCUCAAACAGCAGAAUAUAAAAGCAAAUCCUCAGCUUAGUCCAUGCAUUGUAAAGUGUAUGUGUGUAUGUGCGAGUGUGUAUGCAUGUGUGUUUACAUAUCGAAGGUUAUCCUUAAUGGACUCAUGGAUCAGUGAGACCAUUAGAGAAGAUUAAUAUAUUGUUUUAACCCCUGCCCAGAUUAUCAUCACAACUCAUUAUUCCUCUCAAAUAUCAGCCUGUGUGGGUCACUCUGCCUGUGUGUGUCUGUGUCUACACAUACACACAAAUGUGCACUUGUAAGUGUGCAGUCUGGGUAUUUGUGUGACUGCUUGUGUUGUGUCUUACAAGCCUGACAUCAUUUCCUGUCAUCAAGGCCAAAGGUUGCUUAGCAACUUCACUUCUGCCGACUGUCAGAAAAGAAGCUUCUCCGCUGACUGGCUCACAAACUAACUCUGCCUUAUCUCUCCGUCAUAAAUGUACCAUGUGUCUACGAGACGCUGCUGUGUGUGCAUGACUGCCCAUGCAUCUGUAUGGACCGCUGUGCAUUUGUGCUCACAGACACAGACAAAAGCUGAGUGAGAGAGGAGAGAGGAGAGUGGGUUUGGGGAAUGUAUUGUCUGACAGAUUUCUGUUUUUCCUGGAACUAAUAAAAAGCAUGAGUCAGUAAUGUGGCUCUAUGCUAGAAUCACUGUUGUUGUUGAUCUAAUAUAUGGCAAAAUAUGCAGCUGUGAGCUGGUGAGAAAAGUUACUGGCUUCUUUUAUUUGUGACUCGGAGUUGCAUAUAAAAGGCUCGGUUUGAUGAGCGAUGCAAUCAAUUUUUAUACAGCACACAUAUUAAAGUCUGUAAUAAAACAAGGGGGAGCCUGAAAGGACAUCAAAGUCUACAUUCAUUUUAAAGUUAGUAAUUAAUAAUUGUUAACUUCAAUAGAAAGCUAGAGCAAAAGUAAAAGGGUCAUUGUUAAUUCAGUUUGUUAAUGCACUCUGAUCAGGUCGAGAUGAUGGCCAAGUGUGUACAUCUGCGUGAAAAGACACAUUAAGGUUACUCAGAAGCUGGAAAGGACAGAUGUACAGCUGAGAGAGACGGAUAAUAACUUUGACCCCGCGCUCUGAAAACUGACACUUUAAGAUGAGAUGACACUGCCGUUCAGGCUGUGUGUUUGUGUGUGGGUGUGUGCGCAUGUACGUGUGUGUGCACGCUCCUUUAGCCUCUCCAUGUACCACUAAUUUAACCAGGUCAGGUAGAGUAGUAUGAGGGGGCUCGGUGUCACGGUGAUCAUGUGUUCCUGCACACAUGUGUGAAUGUUUGUAUUGUGUGUGUGGGUGUGGGUGUGUGUAUGUAUGUGUGUGUCUGCAUGGUCAGUGUCAGGAUGUGCCAGUAUCAGGAUGUGCCCUAAGGUGGUUGUCAUGGCAUUUUCAACAAUUGAUCAGGAUUAUCGAUCUGUAAUCCAAUUCCAACAGUGUGUAUGUGCCUGUAUUUGUGACAAUGGCACGGAAAUAAAACACUUCCACACAUAUGUAAUGUUAUGAGAUGGUCACCAUGGAAACACACCCAAGGGGCAUUUGCCUCACACUGAUAAUAAUGUUUGGCCUAGAUACCCAUCCUCAACCGAUAACAGAGGGAAUGUAUUUCUGACCACGUGUGUGUGUGUGUGUGUGUGUGUGUGUGUGUGUGUGUGUGUUCAGUGACUAAUGUAAACCAUCAUUUGAACAGCACACUGUCAGAGCUCCGGUAAAAAAUGCAUGAAAUAAUCCCAUGGAGCAGAAGGAGUCUUGCUGGAGUUACACGAGACAGUAAGUGUAAGCAGGAGGAGACGAACUGGAAGCGUAGAAGAAAAUGAACAGGAGUGGGAGUGGGAGUGGAAUCACACAGCCGGGGAGACCCAGUAGCAACCGAUUACUGCCAACGCACACAGAGACACAAUCACACAAACAUACAGCGGCUCCCAACAAGGCUAAUCAGUUUUCCUUUUUGUGAGAUGUUUGCAGCAGAGGUCUGUGUGAGUGUUUGUGCGGUUCAAUGUGUCCUAGAUAUCUUAAACUGUGCUGUUGAGACACACUAAAUGUUUGAUGUGUGCUGCUGCUGUAAGAGGGAUGAUAGCAGAGGGAGUCUGUCUGCUGUGGGCGUUGAUGGGGUAUUGCACGGUGUUUCCCAGCUCUGAGAAAAAAAUCUUAUCUUGGUUUUUUAGCCACAGCGCUGGUGAAUCUGUCGGUCAGCAACAACUCUACCAAUUUAGUCAACUGAAAAAUAUCUCUGCUAUUUUCUCUCAGUUUGGUGCCGAUAUUUGCAGCAGCAGAAAAAUAAACAGAUUGACUUUGACGAUCCACUGACUUCAUAUCAGAUAAAUGUUGAUAAAGUUUCCUCCAGGUCAUAUGAGUUCAUGUCUUUUCAUACAGAUUUAAACAGACAAAACAUAAAACCUUAUAUUAUGGGCUGUGUAAAACAUGGACAAGAUGACAGUCCCCUAAAAGUGAAGCCAAGACAUUUGAAGCUCCACCUACAGAGCAGCUGCAGUAUUAGUCUUAAGGUCCUUACACACCAGGAACGACGCAAAUAUACAAUGAGAAAUUACAAGAUAUUUGGAGGCAAAUUUUGACGCAAUGCGAUUUUGCACUUUCCAGGGGGAAAAAAGACGCGUCCCGGGUGGAAGCGAGAAGACUGACACGACACCAGACUGACUGUUUUUCAGUUCUGAUUAGACACUUGUGUUGAGAUGGCUGUCUGUCAUGAUAGCAUGUACUGAGUUGAAGCCAGUACCAGAUAAGCACAUUAAACUAUAAUCCAUAAACAUAAGGUAAAAACCGAGACCUAAUGGUGCUGUGACAGCAACGCGGUUGAGUAUAAGAAAGUGAAAAUACAUACGGUAUGUUGUUUCUGAACAGGUUAGCUUAUGAGCUAAAGUUACUUAGCACAGAUGAAAGUGAAAACAAAGACGUUAAGCAAACUGUUGGUCAAAAGUGGACACACAGUAUGCAAAACUACAGCAAUAUCACAGGACUGGAAACAUCGCUGAUGUGAAUGCUUGUAUUGACAGGAUAUGGGUUUGAAAAAAAAAUUGACAUCCAAAAUAAUAGCACAAAAAAAAAAAAAAAAGCUCCAGGUGUGUAAAGACCUUUACUCUCUUGCCAUGUUGUGAUGGGUCCUGCUACAGUGUGACUGCCAUCUUUUUGAUUGGAUCCAGCACCUCUUUCCUCGCAUAACUGUCAAUAAAUCUAGUGUAGAUAAGGUUGUUCCAAAAAUUUCACGCAACAUUGUGUAUCUUGCUACUGCUGUUCACUCAUGUCUCUGUAGUUUUGGAGGUAUAUUUGAUAAAUCCCACAAAAAAAAACACUUUCUGUGUUUAUUCUUUCCUCUUUAAUUACUAAAAAAUCUCAUUUUUUCCUAAUUGUAUGAAUUUUUAUCUCAUUUUUAUAAAAGGCAGUAUAGAGUGCGAGGUCAGACCACGGUCAUGUCAUGUUAGUGUGCAGUGCGGAAGAUUUGCAAACGUCACCAGAUCCCUUUACUGAAGUUGAUGUUACUGUCUAUAGUUUGAUUGAGCACAGCAGGAGGGAAGACAGCAAAAAGGCAAUCAACUUUAGUGAUCUUUGUUUUGAACUGAUGAGUCUGUCAGACCCAAAGCAGAUCAAAGUUGUUACAAUGAAGGGUGCUAGUGAUAAAUUUAACAGCAGCAGCACGGCAACAUGCAGCAUUAUGAGGAGCAGCAGCAACAGCAACAGAGGUUUGUAUCACCAGCAAAAAUGACCAAGAUAAACAUGUGAAGGAGGGAAAGGAAACAAUGAUUUCUUGCGCAUAUAGGUAGAGGUGUUAUCACUUAUUGUGUAUGAGCCCAAGGCACUGUGCAAUCUUAAUGUGGUCCGUGACUCUUGGUUGAGUACCUGACCUGUCAGGACAGCAAUAUGCCUGUUUUCCGGUACCUCGGGGUUUACAAAUUAACCUCUGAGUACAUGCCAAGUAUUGUCUAGGAUUGGGAUGGGACAGGAUUGCACAGGAACAUUGGGCUGAGGAAGAACAAAGAGAGAAAAUGCAACAAACAGAACUUUCUACAGCUGUGAGUGUUUGCUCCUAAAUGACUCAGGAAUCUGUUAUAUUUUGGCCUUCAUCACUUUGAGCAACCUCUGAGGUGUAUCAUUAGGUUAAAUCUGUGUUUUGGCAAGCAAAAAGGGCACGACAUCAACAUCACAGCUCUGCCAGCCAAUCUCUGUUACACACACACACUCUUGCUCCAAACUACAUCACCAGCACUUUAUGUCACGCUCAUUGCAGCAGUUUUCUAAGUUCACUUUUGUGCUACAGGAGGAGGGGG